rnacentral:misc_RNA from 1 species
AAGUCGUAACAAGGUCUCCGUAGGUAACCCUGCGGAGGGAUCGAUUACCAAAGAUGCGGGCCUCCGGGCCCCGCGUCCCCAACCCUUUGUUGACCAAAACCUUUUUGCCUCGGGGGCAGAGCGUCCGCCGCCGCCCCGAGGACCAGCCGAACGCUGUCUCUUUAACGUCGGAGUAUCGAUUGAAUAAAUGAAAA